AGUGGCGAGCUAGAGAGAGAGGAGGAAAGGGCUGCCAUUUUCUAGAGAGAAGGAAGAAGAGAAAAAGAAAAAGAAAGAGAAGGGGAAGAAGAAGAGGGUUUCGAAACCCUAGGUAAGUUCUAACCUAUUGGUGUUUAGCUAGAGAGAGAGAGGAGGAAAGGGCUGCCAUUUUCUAGAGAGAGGGAAGAAGAGAAAAAGAAAAAGAAAGAGAAGGAGAAGAAGAAGAGGGUUUCGAAACCCUAGGUGACAAGGUUUUUCUUGCUAAGAGUAUUCUUGAUUCAACAAUCAAGAGAGGUAGCAAAUAGGUUUCUCCAUGGCACUCGUGGUGAUGUGGGAAGUUCUAUCGUCCUGAUGUGUAUGGCGUGGGGCAUCCUAUGGACGAAAAACGAUCACUAAAAGACACCAUCUUAAUAAUGUUAUGUUUUAUGAGACUUUUUAAACUUAUCAAUGGGACUUAAGUUAUUGGUUGCUUUUUUUUUUUUGGAACUUCGCAUAAAAACUCAUAUUUUCUUUUAAAACUAUUGGGCCCAUCUUGCAUGUUUUAAGCAAGAACCCACUGAAACCUUUAUAAUAAGUGGCUUUCCUUUAAAAACCAACGAAAUGUGAAUGUUUCAUUAAGUACUAGUUUAGGGCAUUCUUUACAAAUGGUAUCAGAGCCGGUCGUCCAUGUUUCCAAGGACCCUCCUCAUACACACUAAAGACGGGAAAAUCCACCUCACCUCACCGCGUCGUAAGUAUUUGUUUAUUACUUGUUUUCGUUUUAUUUUAUUUUGUAUAGUUUCGUAACCGCAGUAGUAGAAAUGCCUCCUGUGUUGAGAACGACAAAGAAACAAUUACUUAAGUAGAUCCGCGCGUUUCCAAGGGUUGAGCUUGACGAGGACCCUUAUGAUUGGCGCAUGGCAGCCUUAAAGAUGAUAAAGGAGGUCUACGAUCGUAUCCAAGGAAUAAUGAAUAAGAGGGGAGCCUUGCUUUGGCCCAUAAAGCAAUUUUGGGUGAUGAGUGAAGCUUUGUCGAUGUACCCAGAGGCUCUUCAACAGUUAAAUCAAUCAUGGAAUGAUGUUGUGCUAGAUGACAUGGAGUUUAGCACCAUGGGGUUUACGAUUUGCGACUUUCUGGUAAGUUAUGACCUUAGUCGUCAGGAGCUGGUAUUAGUAAAGACAGAUGAUGGUGAAAUAGAGGAGCAUUUAGAGACGGUGCAUGACAUGGAAGGAGAAUCGGCAGUUGAGGAAGUACUACAAGCUAUACCGCGUCUGACUGCGAGGAUGGAGAUUAUGGCAAGCGCGCCUAACUAUUUCCACAUUCCAGAGGAUAUCUUUGACUAUAAUUCAGGGGACGAGUCCACCGUUGAGGACUAGAGUCCAUUUCGUAAUUGUCGCAUGG